AUUGAACGCUGGCGGCAUGCUUUACACAUGCAAGUCGAACGGCAGCGCGGGCUUCGGCCUGGCGGCGAGUGGCGAACGGGUGAGUAAUACAUCGGAACGUGCCCAGUAGUGGGAGAUAGCUCGGCGAAAGCCGGAUUAAUACCGCAUACGACCUGAGGGUGAAAGCGGGGGAUCUUCGGACCUCGCGCUAUUGGAGCGGCCGAUGGCAGAUUAGCUAGUUGGUGGGGUAAAGGCCUACCAAGGCGACGAUCUGUAGCUGGUCUGAGAGGACGACCAGCCACACUGGGACUGAGACACGGCCCAGACUCCUACGGGAGGCAGCAGUGGGGAAUUUUGGACAAUGGGCGAAAGCCUGAUCCAGCAAUGCCGCGUGUGUGAUGAAGGCCUUCGGGUUGUAAAGCACUUUUGGCGGGAACGAAAAGGACUGUGCCAAUACCACGGUUCGAUGACGGUACCCGCAGAAUAAGCACCGGCUAACUACGUG
rnacentral:rRNA from 1 species